AGAGUUUGAUCCUGGCUCAGAAUGAACGCUGGCGGCGUGCUUAACACAUGCAAGUCGCACGAGAACGCUCCUGCUUGCAGGAGCUAGUAAAGUGGCGCACGGGUGAGUAACGCGUGGGUAAUCUAUCUUCGGAUUGGGGAUAACAUUGCGAAAGCGAUGCUAAUACCGAAUAAUAUCGGGACCGUUUCGGCGGAUCCGACCAAAGGUGGUCUCUCCUUGGAAACUACCGUUUGAAGAUGAGCCCGCGUCCCAUUAGCUAGUUGGCGGGGUAACGGCCCACCAAGGCCGCGAUGGGUAGCUGGUCUGAGAGGAUGAUCAGCCACACUGGAACUGACACACGGUCCAGACUCCUACGGGAGGCAGCAGUGAGGAAUUUUGCGCAAUGGGGGAAACCCUGACGCAGCAACGCCGCGUGAGUGAUGAAGGCCCUCGGGUCGUAAAGCUCUGUCAAGUGGGAAGAACCUGUCUGAUGUUAAUACCAUCGGGCACUGACGGUACCACUGGAGGAAGCACCGGCUAACUCCGUGCCAGCAGCCGCGGUAACACGGGGGGUGCAAGCGUUAUUCGGAAUUAUUGGGCGUAAAGGGCGCGUAGGCGGUCCUGUAAGUCAGAUGUGAAAGCCCGGGGCUCAACCCCGGAAGUGCAUUUGAAACUAUAGGACUUGAGUAUGGGAGAGGGAAGUGGAAUUCCUGGUGUAGCGGUGAAAUGCGUAGAUAUCAGGAGGAACACCGGUGGCGAAGGCGGCUUCCUGGACCAAUACUGACGCUGAGGCGCGAAGGCGUGGGGAGCAAACAGGAUUAGAUACCCUGGUAGUCCACGCAGUAAACGGUGAUCACUAGGUGUAGCGGGUAUUGACCCCUGCUGUGCCGGAGUUAACGCAUUAAGUGAUCCGCCUGGGGAGUACGGCCGCAAGGUUAAAACUCAAAGAAUUGACGGGGGCCCGCACAAGCGGUGGAGCAUGUGUGUUUAAUUCGACGCAACGCGAAGAACCUUACCUGGAUUUGACAUCCCGGGAAUCUCCUGGAAACAGGAGAGUGCCCUUCGGGGAGCCUGGAGACAGGUGCUGCAUGGCUGUCGUCAGCUCGUGUCGUGAGAUGUUGGGUUAAGUCCCGCAACGAGCGCAACCCUCAUCUUUAGUUACCAUCAUUUGGUUGGGGACUCUAGAGAUACUGCCCCGGUCAACGGGGAGGAAGGUGGGGAUGACGUCAAGUCCUCAUGGCCUUUAUGUCCAGGGCUACACACGUGCUACAAUGGACUGUACAGAGGGUAGCGAUCCCGCGAGGAGGAGCCAAUCCCAAAAAGCAGUUCGUAGUUCGGAUUGGAGUCUGCAACUCGACUCCAUGAAGUUGGAAUCGCUAGUAAUCGCGGAUCAGCAUGCCGCGGUGAAUACGUUCCCGGGCCUUGUACACACCGCCCGUCACACCAUGAGAGUUGGUUGUACCAGAAGUUGUUGGGCAAAACCCUUCGGGGAG
rnacentral:rRNA from 1 species